CUCUGGCUCAGAUGCACUUUCUGCUCCAGCCUCGUCUUUCUCCCUCCUUCUCUGCCUGGCCCACUUUCCCUUCUCUCUCUCUCAGCCGUCCCCUCUCCCUGGGAAUAUUUCGUGUGUGCAAAGAGCCGCCUUUGGCUAACCUCAGCUGCCCCGGGCACCUGUGCUGCACAGUUACCUUCAUUUGGCUCCUUCGCCCCACCACCUCCUUGAUCGCCCCUGCCUUUGAUCACUUCUUAGAUUUCCCUCUUUUCUUCCCCGUAGUCGCCCUCCAGCUCCGAAUUAAUACUUCGUACAUUUCCAGACCCUCCUUUCCACUCCUUUGUUGUCAAUAAACUUGGAUUUCUCACUGAGCCGUCUGUGGCUUCCUUGGGGUUGUAUAAUCUGGAGGGUGAGCUUCUUAUUCCUCUCUCUUUUCCUCCCUAUAGUUUCUUGAGGACAAAGCUUUUUUGCUCCUUGUCAGUUUCCCCUUCUCCACCCGAGGGAUGUAACUGAAGUACUCCUCUCCAGUCCCUUUCCUACCAACCUGACAACUGCUCUAGGAAAGACAGUCGAUAGAGAUUAUUAAAAUGGACACAAAGCAGCUAAAGAUUUCCAGACGUGUAAUUUAUACCUAGAACAUUAUAAGAUUUUGACUACACAGAAAACUUGGUGAAAAGAAAAUACUUUAUCCUUCAGACUUUUUUAAAGCUCAGGGGAAAGGAAAAUCUUUCCCUCCUUGCAGGAAAACUCACACAGGACUCCAAUUCCACAGCUACAUGGUGGUAUGAACUCAGAGGCCCAGCGAUAAAACUUUAAACACCAACAUUGUUCAAUACGUCACUGCUCAACAAAACAUGUCAGAAAGGAGAGAAAGGAGCAGAUUUGGAAGGUCUACACAAUCUACUCUGAGUGACAGUUCAUUUUGGCACCAUGAGAAAAUGAAUUUGGGAGGGUCCUCUCUCCUCCUCGAUCAAGAAGGAGCCAAACCUAAGGAGCCUAACGGAGCUGAGUGAGGCAUCUGAGCCCCCUCAUUGGGGAGCUAAGCUCACAAAACACCCAGCAGGGCUGACAAGCCUCAUAAAAUCUGAGGAGCCCAGCAAAGCCGACCCUCGGGAAUCCAGAGAGUGUGCAGGGCUAUAUUUUGAACAUGUGCACAAUCUCCUGUCAAUGGCAUCUCAUUUGAGUGGAGCUUAAUUGGGUGGGAGAGCACUACCCCUUGGUCUCCCCAAUUUGACUUCCGCACGAAAGCAUACAACUCAUCAUGGGCAAGCAAAGCAGGCUGACUCCUGAUUUAAAGUCUCCACACAUGUUUUACAAUGCUAAAUGAAAUUAGUUAUCAGUCUUUAAUCACUUGUAAAAAGUUCUGACUCUUUAACAUGCUAAAGGGUUAAUAAGGGCAAUGUGCAUUAAGUAAACAAAUACAACAAAGAAGCCACAAAAUAUGUAAGACUAAAUC